AGCCAGACUCCUACGGGAGGCAGCAGUGGGGGAUAUUGGACAAUGGGGGAAACCCUGAUCCAGCGACGCCGCGUGAGUGAAGAAGUAUUUCGGUAUGUAAAGCUCUGUCAGCAGGGAAGAAAGAAAUGACGGUACCUGACCAAGAAGCCCCGGCUAACUACGUGCCAGCAGCCGCGGUAAUACGGAGGAUGCGAGCGUUAUCCGGAUUUAUUGGGUUUAAAGGGUGCGUAGGCGGACUGGAAAGUCAGCGGUAAAAUCGGGAGGCUCAACCUCUUUCCGCCGUUGAAACUGUCGGUCUUGAGUGGGCGAGAAGUAUGCGGAAUGCGUGGUGUAGCGGUGAAAUGCAUAGAUAUCACUCAGAACUCCGAUUGCGAAGGCAGCAUACCGGCGCCCGACUGACGCUGAGGCACGAAAGCGUGGGUAUCGAACAGGAUUAGAUACCCGUGUAGC
rnacentral:rRNA from 1 species